rnacentral:ncRNA from 1 species
CAAAGGUUUGGUCCUAGCCUUUUUAUUAACUCUUAGUAAACUUACACAUGCAAAUAUCCUUAUCCCAGUGAGAAUGCCCUCUAGAUCAAUACGAUCAAAAGGAGCAGGUAUCAAGCCCACUACUCNNAGUUGCUCACAACACCUUGCUUAACCACACCCCCACGGGAUACAGCAGUGAUUAAGAUUAAGCCNAUGAACGAAAGUUCGACUAAGUUAUACUACUUCAGGGUUGGUAAAUUUCGUGCCAGCCACCGCGGUCAUACGAUUAACCCCAGUUAAUAAAAUACGGCGUAAAGCGUGAUUAAAAUAUCAAAUCCAAUAAGACUAAGCCUAAACUAAGCUGUAAAAAGCCCUAGUUAUAGAAAAAAUAAAUAAACGAAAGUAGUCUUAAAAUUUUUGAACUCACGAUAGCUAAGACCCAAACUGGGAUUAGAUACCCCACUAUGCUUAGCCCUAAACAUAAACAUUCUACUAACAAGACUGUUCGCCAGAGUACUACUAGCCAUAGCUAAAAACUCAAAGGACUUGGCGGUGCUUUAUAUCCCUCUAGAGGAGCCUGUUCUAUAAUCGAUAAACCCCGAUAUACCUCACCACCCUUAGCAAAUAUCAGCCUAUAUACCGCCAUCUUCAGCAAACCUUAAUAAAGCCUUACAGUAAGCACAAUCAUUAAGCUAUAAAUACGUUAGGUCAAGGUGUAGCCUAUAGGGUGGGAAGAAAUGGGCUACAUUUUCUAUAUACUAGAACAAUCAAUUUACGAUAGCUUUCAUGAAAUUUUAAGCCUAAGGCGGAUUUAGUAGUAAGUUAGGAAUAGAGAGCCUAACUGAAUCGGGCAAUAAAGCACGCACACACCGCCCGUCACCCUCUUCAAAUUCUAYANNNNNNNNNNNNNNNNUAGCAUGAGAAGAGAUAAGUCGUAACAAGGUAAACAUACUGGAAAGUGUGUUUGGAAUAAU